rnacentral:rRNA from 1 species
UACGGGGGGGGCAAGCGUUGUUCGGAAUUACUGGGCGUAAAGGGCUCGUAGGCGGCCAACUAAGUCAGACGUGAAAUCCCCAGGCUCAACCUGGGAACUGCGUCUGAUACUGGAUGGCUUGAAUCCGGGAGAGGGAUGCAGAAUUCCAGGUGUAGCGGUGAAAUGCGUAGAUAUCUGGAGGAACACCGGUGGCGAAGGCGGCAUCCUGGACCGGCAUUGACGCUGAGGCGCGAAAGCCAGGGGAGCAAACAGG